UGGCUGCGUGGCAGCAGACAGACUCCUCCAGCUCCUCUGCCAGGGAGGUGAUCCGGCAAGGCUGUAGUGGAGACAGGAGACGAACCACCAGCAGCCUGAGGGACUGAACAUGUCUAAAUGAAAGGCAUAAAACCCCGGAGAGGUGGAACAGUAGUUGCUUGAAUGCAUUGUUCUGGUAGGGCGUCACACAUCAAACUUCUUCAUGUUGAAGUUUCCACCAGAGCUGAUUGUCCACAAGGGCAAUGUUUGCUUCCUCCUCUAUGUGGUUGGAGGACUCAUGAUGACGGUCACUGCUGGUAGUUGGUGCGUGGAUGUGGCUAUGAGGACGGCCCAGAACCCUGCUAACCUGCGGCGCCUGUCAAACACACUCAUUCGGCUCAUGGGCCUCCGAUACGAAAUA